AGAGAAUCAGCUGACAUUGCCUGAAGAGCAUGAAGGGGAUAAACUUGACCGGCUGCUCUUCUCUCCACAGGCCCAUAGAGCUGGACAGAAAAGCAUCCCAAGAAAGUCUGCCCUGGCAUCAGAAGUGCAGUUGAAGACAUCUUCCUUGAAGCCCAUACUGUCAGAAGUCCCUAUUUCUGCUGAUCCUGAGAGGGAGACCAAGUGAGAACUACAAUGCUGACUGAAGAUCUGGAUAAACGCGAAGGUAAGGGCACCUCUCAAAUAGUGAUGGCUUUACUGCCAGCAGAUGUG
rnacentral:lncRNA from 1 species